GGGGGCGAUGUGGUUUCGACGGGGUAUGAUGUUUUAUGAAGGUUGCAUGUAGAGGUGGCUCACCUCUCAAAAAAGAGCCAAGGCAAAAGUGCCAACUCUGAAUUAGCACUCGCUGCUUAAUCUCAAAGCAGCAGGGCUUCUUUCUUUGCCCCAAGGGAAAGAUAAGCCCUUCAUUAAUUGGGGCUAUUGGAAAGUGAAAACCCUUGGCACUUUCCAAGAAUUUUAAAAGGGUUAGGCCUCUUAUUGCUUUUCCAUUCAGAGAUAAGGGGCUGAAAAUUUAAAGAAUGGAAAAAACAUGUAGGAGCCUUCAUAAAACCGCCUUCGGAAGGGGGUUCGAUUCCCCCCGCCUCCACAU
rnacentral:tmRNA from 1 species